GAUGAACGCUAGCGGCAGGCUUAAUACAUGCAAGUCGAGGGGCAGCAGGACUGUAGCAAUACAGUUGCUGGCGACCGGCAAACGGGUGCGGAACACGUACGCAACCUACCCAAAACUGGGGGAUAGCCCGGGGAAACCCGGAUUAAUACCUCGUAACCUUUUUAAGUGGCAUCACUUGAUAAGUAUAGCUCCGGCGGUUUUGGAUGGGCGUGCGCCUGAUUAGGUAGUUGGUGCGGGUAACGGCCCACCAAGCCUGCGAUCAGUAACUGGUGUGAGAGCACGACCAGUCACACGGGCACUGAGACACGGGCCCGACGCCUACGGGAGGCAGCAGUAAGGAAUAUUGGUCAAUGGACGCAAGUCUGAACCAGCCAUGCCGCGUGAAGGAUGAAGGUCCUCUGGAUUGUAAACUUCUUUUAUGGGGGACGAAACCCGGAUAUUCUUAUCCGAUUGACGGUACCUCAGGAAUAAGCACCGGCUAACUCCGU
rnacentral:rRNA from 1 species